rnacentral:lncRNA from 1 species
CCUCUCUGAGCAAUCCAAGAAUUCAGCAAAUACUCAAGAGGAAAACAAGGAAAGUGCCAGGCUCACUUCUCUGAACUUCCUGUCUUACUAGGAUCUCUGCUCUCCCAAGUGCGAUUGGUUUAAAGGCCCUGUUCUUUUUGUUUCUCCAGUCCUGUGUGGUUUCCAUAACUUGUUUGCUUCUCUGAUUCUUAACAGUAACUCUCUUCUUGGGCCUUUUACCCAGAUUUGGCAAAUUCCAUAAUGGAAGAAGUAGCUGCAGAAUGUCUGCUCACUUCUCUGGUUAAAAUACUUUUGUAUUGGGAGUCCCCAAGACCACGCCAGCACCCCAGGUUCAGUGAUUCAACAGAAGCACUCACAAGGCUCAGCAUAUAGUCAUACUCAUGGCUAUGAUUUAUUAGAGAAAAGUACUACAAAGCAAAUCAGCAAAGGGGAAAAGGACAUGGGGUGAAGUCCAGAGGAAACCUGACACAAGAUUCCAAGAAUCCUUUGCCUGUGGAAUCACACAGGCUGUGGUUAAUUACUUCAGUACUGAAUUGUGACAACAGGUGUGAAAUGUUGUCUGCCAGGGAUGCUCGUUAGAGUCUUACUGCCCAAAGUUUGUAUUGGAAGUUAGUGAUAGAGGCACCCUCUGCCCAGCACAAAUCAUAAUUCCAGACUCCUAGAAGCAAAGCGGGAAUUCAGCAUAAACCAUGUUGUUUAUAUAGUUUACAAAGAGUAAACCCCCUUAUCAGUUAGGGAAUGGUGGGAACAUUCCGGUAAUCCAAGUUCCCAGACACUAGCCAAAGCCCAGCUUUAAAAUCAGGGCUAAGGAUAGCAUCUCAGCCUCUUAUGUUAACUCUUUUCUGCACACCUUCUCUCUGGCGUUUUGUCUUCUAGAGUCCUGUUUAGCUGAAAGUUCUUCAAUGGCUUCAAACAGAGGUUUUAAGCAAUUUUACCCAAAGCUGCUUGUUGUUCUCAAUGAGUGUUGCUCUGCUAUAGAAGUGUCUGGUUAUUUUUCUUUUCUCUUGUGAAGACUGUAUUUGAAAAAUUGUAGAACUUGAGGCUUAAGAUGAUGGGGUUUUUUUUCCACCUCCACAGAGGAUUUGUUUAUUACCAAGCACUUAGGGGAUCAUUUUUAAUCUGAUUUCAGGAAUUGGGAUGGUUUGAAUCCGUGCUGAAUUCCCUGUGUAUGGGGGAGAGUUGAUGCACUUCCAAUUCACUCUUACUCCUAUGGUGGAGCUUUUUUGGGUCCCAGCCCAAAGCAUGGGAAUUUCCUAAGCCCUCUUUUAUGACUUGGCAGGCACUGGCAUUCAGUUUUUGUCCUCCUAAUAUCCUGGAGCAGUAAGAAGCACUGCUUAUCCCCUUAAAUGCUUCUAGAAUCAGCCAAUACCUCCAGGAAAGAAGUUGUGCCAAUGCUUGCCUCUCUAGAUUUUCAUGUUUAUUUAUUUAGAGACAGAGUCUUCCUCUGUUGCCCAGGCUGGAGUGCAGUGGUGCUAUCUCGGCUCACCUCAACCUCCGCUUCUCAGGUUCAAGCGAUUCUCCUGCCACAGCCUCCUGAGUAGCUGGGAUUACAGGCAUGUGCUACCAGACCUGGCUAAUUUUUUUUGUAUUUUUAGUAGAGACGGGCUUUCACCAUGUUGGCCAGGCUGGUCUUGAACUUCUGACUUUAGGUGAUCCACCCACCUCGGCUUCCCAAAGUGCUGGGAUUAUAGGCAUAAGCCACUGCGCCUGGCCUAGAUUUUCAUGUUUUGAAGAGUUUUGCUGGAUUAUCUAGUUGCCAAUGGGAAUUUUGAUGUUAAUUACCUAGUUUCCCAUGACUGAAAGUGUAAUUCUACCUCUACCUCACUGAUUACAUUGUAAAAUAAGUUUCUUAGAAGCAAUAUUUUGGGGAAAAUCAUAAUGGUGAACAGGAAGCUUAUUAUUGCACACACAAGCAUGGUGCUUAGGGAAGGCAAACUUAAAGCCAGAUCCAGAGUAAGGCUCUAUUCCAUGAGGACAAAUAGUUGUCUCUCCAUGAAAGAAAAUAUUUGAUAUAAUCAAUCUGCCACUAACUAUCUGGUCACCCUCAGAUGUUGUAUCUUAGGAUGGUCACUGCUGCUGGCCAGUUCGGCUCCUGGCAGUAAUAAGGACAGCCUUGAUGAAAGGAGGCCUGUAUUGUUGAAGUUCCUGUGUAGCCCUAUCCUUCCAGUAUAGCCGCUUUGCCCAUAAACUGUUUGAACAAAGGCUGGAAUACCAAAGAGAUUUACUGAUAUCCUCAAAGUCAUCUUGACCAUCUGAUUAUUUAGCACCUCCUUCACCACAGGGCCUUUGUUUAAUAUGUCUGUAGGAAACAAUUAUUCUUGCAAUCUGAGCCUAUUUUAAGAAGUCCAAUAUGUUUAGCUCCCAAUUUUUGUCACUCAUCCUCCAAUCUUAUUACGUCUGUGUUUCCAACCACCUGGCCAGGUAUAAAUGGUGUAGAUCUGUAUCUUGGGAUGGCUCACUUUCGGUGCAAAGCAGACUAGAAAUACUGCUCAUAUUUAUUCUCGCUGGAAAAAGUUCAUUUCCUCACUGUCCUCCAGAACCAUCUUUGAGUGAAGCUGAAACACUGUAGGCUAUGUCUAGCUAGUAUCAGCAUGCUGUGCAAUACUGCUUGUAUAACCAGUCUCAAUUUUACCCCUUCAGGGAACUGGGAAAUGUAUAUUAUGUCCUAUUGUACGAGUAUUCAUGGGUUUGCUUGCUUGUUUGGUUUGUCCUUCUUUCAAACAUGUCCUGUCUCAUCAAAUUCAACUUGGUGGAUAUAAAUGAAUUUAAAGGCUUAAGGAAAGAAUAAAUAUUGAAACAAAAGUCUUAAACUAGAGGGGAAACUAGAGGGGAAUUAGAAUAGAGGAAGAAAAAGUGGUGAUGCUCUUCCAGAGGGUUUCAUUUCAAGGGAUUUGGAGGUGAAAAUGUUUGUAGAAAAUUACACAGCACAGCAGGCAACAUAGAAGUAGAAAUAUGUUGGCUAAAUGAAGAGAGUAAAAGUUUAAAGAUAAAUGCAUGAUAGGCUUUCAGUAGGCCGUAGUGGAUCUAGGAUACAAAAGUUAAAUAUACUUGUAGUUUCUACAAAAGGAAGCAAGUGAGACAAGGAGCAAGAAUUCAGUGUUGAAGUUAGGCCUUUCCUACGUUGUUUUCUGAUUAGUCCAGAUACCAUUCAUAUUCACCACAAAUCUACAGGAGUGAAUAAUAAAUGUCAAACAUUAGCCCAGAAAAUUCUUCACACCAUUCAUAGUCUAACUAAAGAGAAACAUGAUGCAUAAUUUACUUCUCAAAACAUUUUUAUGCAGGCAUGCUUAAAAUAAUCAGAGUAAAGCUUUACAACCUUCAUUUUCAUCUCCAUGAAGAAUAUUAGAGAAUAAAAGGAGUUUCAAAGACUUCUAUUGAAUAGAAGAGAAGCAACACAGUCUCUCCUAUGCUGCCACUGAUUUCCUGGAUUCGAUUUAUAUUCUAUCUAGUAAAACAAAUCUUUAUUCACCAUUAUGUAUUAGUUAUAUUAUAUUCCCACAGGGCUGUGGUCUAGUGAGGGAGACAAAUAUGAGAAAGAUAAGUCACAGCACAAUGUGAUGUGGAUUAUAUUAGAACACUUAACAAGUGUGAACCAAGUGUUAUAGAGGUCAAGAAGCUACAGAAAUCUUUGCGAUCUUCAGCAGAACACUAAGAAGUCACCAAAGAUACAUCAAUUGUUGGAGCUCCAGUGGUACGAUCAGUUAGCAUGCCGUACUUAUGACCUGUCAAUUGCUAUAUACAUAAUAUUGACUUAUAAUCUUUGAAUAGAGAGAGCUAAGAAAAACAAACUGAAUCCAUCAGUGUCAAUACAGCUUGGAUAAGACUGUAGCCCAUGUAUGUCAACAUAACUUAGUUGUUUAUUCCAGGAAAUCUUUGCCCAGGAAAGAUAAGAUUACAAACAAAACAAAGCAAAUAAAAACAAGAACAAUCCCUAUUUUUUUGUUGUUGUUGUUUGUAGAGGAAAUUCCUAAGGUUGAAGACAAUUCCUACAGGUGAAGCCCUGCUCACCUGGGCAAACAGCUUGUUUCUCAAACAACAGUUGACUUUUCAGGAAUCUUCAAGAACCCUGCUUGCUGUGUCCACUAAUUCUGAACUAUCAACUUUGCUAAUCCCAAUCAGUUCCCUGCCUUGACAGACAUACCUUAAACCAUUUGAGCAUAGAUCCCAAAGCCCUACAAAUAAUCUUACUUUCUGGUUCUGACACACAACCAAAUCAAGGUGGCACUUUCUCUUACCACAGUAAGUCCUAUUAUUUACUUGUGCUUUAUUAACAGGUCAUCUGAUAUUUGGGAAGUUCAACAAGGAUUUUUUAAAAGGCUUGCUCAUUUAGUUGGUGUGUAGUGCUGUAUGGUAGAAUCAUUUUUCUAUGUCAGGCCAAUUCACCUUCAUUAACAGGUCUAUGCUGAUAACGUUACUCAACUGGCUUUAUUUUAGGUAGGCCUCAUUUAAAAUACAAGAUCUCUUCAAGAAGUUUGCCCUUUCUAACUACAAUCCACUACCAGAUAUCCAAUUCAUUGCUGACAGCUACUAGACCAUAUUUUACAUUUGUAUAAGCCAUCAACUGAGGAACCCGUUAGAAAUACAGGUUUCCAUGCUUCACUCACAGUGAUUCUGAUUCAGGGAAAUUAGCACAAUGCCCAGGAAUCCCCAUUUAAAAAAAAAAUUUCCUAAUGCAGGCUGUCUUUAGACCACACUUUGAGAAACAAUGCUCUCCUCCCCCAUACUAGCAAACGUAAGUGUGUAUUAUACAUAUACACACACUCAUAUUUAACUACUGCACACAUUUAUAAUGCAAGUGGGAUCAUACACUGAAUAAUCAAUGUAAAUCAUCACAUACAGAUCUGCAUUCUUUUUAAUGGCUACAUUAUAUUCCACUAUAUGUACGUACCAUAAUUUAUCUAUUCCUCUAUUAACAGACAUUUAGAUUUGCUGGCUUGUUUUUGCUAUUACAAGCAAUACUGCAAUGAAUACCUUGCAUGCUUAUGUUUAUAUAUUUGUGCUAAAUUUUCAGUAGAAUACAGAGAAUGGAAUAAAUAUAGAAGAGUAGGAUGGCUGUUUCAGAGGGUAUGAGAUAC